AACGACCGGCGCGGCGCCGCCUAACGACUAUGACUUGCGUCUGCUCGCGUCGCGACGUUCUCGUGGCGCCGUCAUGCGGCAACCCUUCCGAUGUAAGGAUUAAACGUACGAAGAGUUGCAUAUUGUCGAGUUAUGCGUGCAAAUAUGUAGGUGAGUUGCCAUCCGAGUGCUAUCGAUAUCAAUAAACUGAACCGGAAGUCAAGAAGGUGGUACCCGUUCGAUCGCUUACGCAAAAUCGAUCACUUUUAUUUUCAUCAUCGAUCAAUGCGCGUAACCGUGACGACCUAAUACACAGAUGCUGAAGAUACAAUACACAGCGUACAACGUUGUGCCACAAUGACAAACCACAAGUUGAUAUUUUUCACUGUGGAUUGAGUACAUAUCGGUUAUUUGCGGACUUGCGUGCUGCGAUAUAUCCAAGGUACGAAGAAGACGAUAGCGUGAAGCGUGGGAGUACAUAAUGUGUAUACAUAUACAGCUGACAUAAUUUCGAUUGUUUCGAACAUUCGUUUGAAUCAUAACUCUAUAUGUAUGAUUAAUUAAUUUCAUUUACACACGAGUGUCAUCGAUUACUUGAGCAUAAAAUCCUUAAUAUUUUCUUAAAGUUUCAUAUGUUAAUGUAUUAUACACGAUUUCUGUUUGAUUGAACUUUUCUAGGAUACUCGAUGGUUUAUAAAUAUUCAAUGUAUAUGUAAAAACAGAAUCAUAUAAUGAAUUCGUGAUGCUAAAUUUAUAACAUACUCAUCGAACUAUUGUAUAAAAAUAGUUUCAUUCAUUCACCGUAUGUACUAUUAUAUCAUUUACUUUCGUCUUUAAGCCAAAGAUAUCAUUAAAACAUAAGUUUAUUUUAAGUUACUUUCACCUGAUAUAAGUAUUGUAUUAAUAAAAAAUAUAUUAUUGUUCUUUUAUACUUAUCUUCUAAAUAUAUUCUAAUCCUAUC